GAUGAACGCUGGCGGCGUGCCUAACACAUGCAAGUCGAGCGAUCUUCUUCGGAAGAGAGCGGCGGACGGGUGAGUAACGCGUGGGUAACCUGCCCUGUACACACGGAUAACAUACCGAAAGGUAUGCUAAUACGAGAUAAUAUGCUUUUAUCGCAUGGUAGAAGUAUCAAAGCUCCGGCGGUACAGGAUGGACCCGCGUCUGAUUAGCUAGUUGGUAAGGUAACGGCUUACCAAGGCGACGAUCAGUAGCCGACCUGAGAGGGUGAUCGGCCACAUUGGAACUGAGACACGGCCCAAACUCCUACGGGAGGCAGCAGUGGGGAAUAUUGCACAAUGGGGGAAACCCUGAUGCAGCGACGCCGCGUGAGUGAUGAAGUAUUUCGGUAUGUAAAGCUCUAUCAGCAGGGAAGAUAAAUGACGGUACCUGACUAAGAAGCACCGGCUAAAUACGUGCCAGCAGCCGCGGU
rnacentral:rRNA from 1 species